UUGGACCCUCUUUGUAGCUGUAAAAAGGCUGGCGAAUAAGGACUGGGCAAGACCGGUGCCAGCCGCCGCGGUAAUCCCGGCAGUCCAAGUCGCAGCCACAAUUAUUGGGUCUAAAACAUCCGUAGCUUGCCUUUCAAGUCUGUGUGAAAUUCUGUCUCUUAAGGGCAGAGAUUGCAAUGGAUACUGUUGGCUAGAGACAGGUGGGCGUAAGAAGUACAUCUGAGGUAGUGGUAAAAUACGUUAAUCUCAGGUGGACUAACGAUUAGCGAAGCAUCUUACGAUGACUGUUCUGACAGUGAGGGAUGAAGGCUAGGGGCGCAAAUGGAUUAGAUACCCAAGUAGUCCUAGCAGUAAACACUGCGCACUAAACCUUGUGACCUCCUCGAGAGGUUGCAGGGCUGCAGCGAAGGCGAAGAGUGCGCUACCUGGGAAGUAUAGCCGAAGGCCGAAACUUAAAGGAAUUGGCGGGGGAGCACUACAACCGGGUGACGCGUGCGGUUCAAUUAGAUUCUACACCGUGAACCUCACGAGGACCGACAGCAGAAUGAAGGUCAGUCUGAAGGCUUACCUGACACGCUGAGAGGAGUUGCAUGGCCGACGUCAGCUGUGUCGUGAGAUGACCUGUUAAUCGGUAACCGGCGAGACCGCGGUGUAUAGUGCUAUCUUGAAUUAAGAUUGCACUCCUAUUCCGGACUGGCCUUGGUUACCACGGAGGAAGCCGGGCUACGUUAGGUGAGUCCGGCCCAAUGCCUCCGGCUACACGCGCGCGGCAUGCUGCAUACAGUGAGAAGCCACUCUGAGAGAGACCAUCCCAU
rnacentral:rRNA from 1 species